rnacentral:siRNA from 1 species
GUUGACCCGGCCAAAUCGACUCACC